UACAGGGGUGCAAACGUUGCUCGGAAUCAUUGGGCGUAAAGCGCACGUAGGCGGUUCGUUAUGUCGGAUGUGAAAGCCCUUGGCUUAACCGAGGAAGUGCAUCCGAAACUGGCGAGCUAGAGUACUAAAGAGGAUCGCGGAAUUCCCGGUGUAGAGGUGAAAAUUCGUAGAUAUCGGGAGGAACACCGAUGGCGAAGGCAGCACUCUGGGCCGGCACUGACGCUGAGGAGCGAAAGCGUGGGAGCGAACGAG
rnacentral:rRNA from 1 species